rnacentral:lncRNA from 10 species
CUCUUUCUCUCCUGUGACCAUGUGAAGAAGCUGCUUGCCUCCGCUUCACCUUCCACCAUGAUUGUAAGUUUCCUGAGGCCUCCCAGUCAUGCUUGCCGUUAAAACUGUGGAACUGCUUUACAACGAAUGUAAAAGACAAGUCUCAGGAAAAGAUGUAAUUUUAUGGAAGAAAAAAGAUAGAAAAUAACAUUACCCAAAUGAAAACAGAUGAAGAUAAAGAUCAUUUCUUGAACAAUAUCUUCACAUCAUGGCUGGGCAAAGUGGAAAGAGACAGAAAACUGGUAAUUAUUGCCAGCAGACUUAAAAUAUGUAUUUAGGCAGUAAAUUUUUUAUUAUUU